rnacentral:tRNA from 1 species
ACCUGGGUGGCUCAGUCGGUUGAGCCUCUGACUUCCGCUCAGGUCAUGAUCUCACGGUUUGUGGGUUCGAGCCCCACGUCAGGCU